GGGCGCAGCAGGCGCGAAACCUCCGCAAUGCGGGAAACCGCGACGGGGGGACCCCCAGUGCCGUGCNUCUGGCACGGCUUUUCCGGAGUGUAAAAAGCUCCGGGAAUAAGGGCUGGGCAAGGCCGGUGGCAGCCGCCGCGGUAAUACCGGCGGCCCGAGUGGUGGCCACUAUUAUUGGGCCUAAAGCGGCCGUAGCCGGGCCCGUAAGUCCCUGGCGAAAUCCCACGGCUCAACCGUGGGGCUCGCUGGGGAUACUGCGGGCCUUGGGACCGGGAGAGGCCGGGGGUACCCCCGGGGUAGGGGUGAAAUCCUAUAAUCCCGGGGGGACCGCCAGUGGCGAAGGCGCCCGGCUGGAACGGGUCCGACGGUGAGGGCCGAAGGCCAGGGGA
rnacentral:rRNA from 1 species